rnacentral:rRNA from 1 species
GACGAACGCUGGCGGCGUGCCUAAUACAUGCAAGUCGAACGCAGUGGGGACGGGUGAGUAACACGUGGGUAACCUCCCAUCAGACGGGAUAACACUUGGAAAAAGGUGCUAAACCGAUACUGAUGGAUGGACCCGCGGUGCAUUAGCUAGUUGGUGCGGUAACGGCGCACCAAGGCAACGAUGCAUAGCCGGUCUGAGAGGACGAUCGGCCACACUGGGACUGAGACACGGCCCAGACUCCUACGGGAGGCAGCAGUAGGGAAUUUUCGGCAAUGGCCGAAAUCCUGACCGAGCAACGCCGCGUGUGUGAAGAAGUUUUUCGGAUCGUAAAACUCUGUUGUUAGAGAAGCGGUAUCUGACGAGAAAGCCACGGCUAACUACGUGCCAGCCGCCGCGGUAAUAC